rnacentral:rRNA from 1 species
UACAGAGGCCCCAAGCGUUACUGAGAAUCACUGGGUUUAAAGGGUGCGUAGGUGGCGCGUUAAGUCCGUUGUGAAAUCCCUUGGCUCAACCAAGGAAUGGCUUCGGAUACUGGCGUGCUUGAGGCUGGUAAGGGUCACUGGAACUGACGGUGGAGCGGUGAAAUGCGUAGAUAUUCGCAAGAACACCAGUGGCGAAGGCGGCUCACUGGCCCGGUACUGACGCCUGAGGUGCGAAAGCGUGGGGAGCAAACAGGG